ACCCCGGUGGCCGAAUGGGUAAUGCGGCCACCUGGUAGCGCCUUGGCGUGGGGACCCAAGGCGCGUGGGUUCGAAACCCGCAGGGGACAACAUUACAUCCGGAGCCAACUUCUCAGCUCCUAAAAUAAUGGGAUGUGAACCUGCCAAGUAGGUACCUUCGGGCGGACCUACUACUUGAUUUAGCUGAUUUUUCCUGGGCUGGGAACCUGUAUUGCAUGUACCAAAUCCUGUCUUUCAUUAAUUUUCCUAUGUUCCUGUUAUAUUCUUGGCGUCGUUCAACACUAAGCAUUCCUCCUGUAUAACCAACUCUUGCCUGUAUUUAACAUCACACAAGGACUCAUCAUAAGCACUGCUUGCAUACAAGUAUAACGGAAG
rnacentral:sRNA from 1 species